ACCCUCAAGUUGUAUCAUAGCCAAUGAGGUUAAUCCAAGGCGUGAUUAUUGCUAGUUGAAAACUUAUCCUUCCAAAAUUUUUGUUAGCAUUAAUUGUGAUAACUCUGGAUAUUCUUGUUAUCCAUAUAAACGU
rnacentral:snRNA from 1 species